rnacentral:rRNA from 1 species
CUGGCCCUACGGGAGCAGCAGUGAGGGAUAUUGGUCAAUGGGGGAAACCCUGAACCAGCAACGCCGCGUGAGGGAAGACGGUUUUCGGAUUGUAAACCUCUGUCCUCUGUGAGGAUAAUGACGGUAGCAGAGGAGGAAGCUCCGGCUAACUACGUGCCAGCAGCCGCGGUAAUACGUAGGGAGCGAGCGUUGUCCGGAUUUACUGGGUGUAAAGGGUGCGUAGGCGGCCCUGCAAGUCAGAAGUGAAAUCCAUGGGCUUAACCCGUGAACUGCUUUUGAAACUGCAGGACUUGAGUGGAGUAGAG